GGGAUUGGUGAUUGGGGGGAAGUCGUAACAAGGUAGCCGUAGGAGAACCUGCGGCUGGAUCACCUCCUUUCUAGGGAGAAUGGAA
rnacentral:rRNA from 1 species